rnacentral:rRNA from 1 species
UUGAACGCUGGCGGCAUGCCUUACACAUGCAAGUCGAACGGCAGCGCGGGGCAACCUGGCGGCGCGUGGCGAACGGGUGAGUAAUAUAUCGGAACGUACCCUGGAGUGGGGGAUAACGUAGCGACAGUUACGCUAAUACCGCAUACGAUCUAAGGAUGAAAGCAGGGGACCGCAAGGCCUUGUGCUCCUGGAGCGGCCGAUCUCUGAUUAGCUAGCUGGUGGGGUAAAGGCCUACCAAGGCAUCGAUCAGUAGCUGGUCUGAGAGGACGACCAGCCACACUGGGACUGGGACACGGCCCAGACUCCGACGGGAGGCAGCAGUGGGGAAUUUUGGACAAUGGGGGCAACCCUGAUCCAGCAAUGCCGCGUGAGUGAAGAAGGCCUUCGGGUUGUAAAGCUCUUUUGUCAGGGAAGAAACGGUUCUGGUUAAUACCUGGGGCUAAUGACGGUACCUGAAGAAUAAGCACCGGCUAACUACGU